rnacentral:rRNA from 1 species
GCCGCGGUAAUACGAAGGGACCUAGCGUAGUUCGGAAUUACUGGGCUUAAAGAGUUCGUAGGUGGUUGAAAAAGUUGGUGGUGAAAUCCCAGAGCUUAACUCUGGAACUGCCAUCAAAACUUUUCAGCUAGAGUUUGAUAGAGGAAAGCAGAAUUUCUAGUGUAGAGGUGAAAUUCGUAGAUAUUAGAAAGAAUACCAAUUGCGAAGGCAGCUUUCUGGAUCAUUACUGACACUGAGGAACGAAAGCAUGGGUAGCGAAGAGGAUUAGAUACCCUCGUAGUCCAUGCCGUAAACGAUGUGUGUUAGACGUUGGAAAUUUAUUUUCAGUGUCGCAGCGAAAGCGAUAAACACACCGCCUGGGGAGUACGACCGCAAGGUUAAAACUCAAAUGAAUUGACGGGGACCCGCACAAGUAGUGGAGCAUGUGGUUUAAUUCGAAGAUACGCGCAGAACCUUACCAACACUUGACAUGUUCGUCGCGACUUUAAGAGAUUAAAGUUUUCGGUUCGGCCGGACGAAACACAGGUGCUGCAUGGCUGUCGUCAGCUCGUGUCGUGAGAUGUUGGGUUAAGUCCCGCAACGAGCGCAACCCUCACUUUUAGUUGCCAUCAUUAAGUUGGGCACUCUGAAAGAACUGCCAGUGAUAAGCUGGAGGAAGGUGGGGAUGACGUCAAGUCCUCAUGGCCCUUACGUGUUGGGCUACACACGUGCUACAAUGGUAUUUACAACAGGAAGCAAGACGGCGACGUUAAGCAAAUCCUUAAAAAAUACCUCAGUUCGGAUUGCACUCUGCAACUCGAGUGCAUGAAGCUGGAAUUACUAGUAAUCGUGGAUCAGCGUGCCACGGUGAAUGCGUU